UGGUAAAUCCCACCAUUCACGUCGCAAGUCAGAGGCACACACAGACAAGUAGGGCGAGAGUGAUAAAAUGCUUUCAUCAGAAAUCAAGCGCCUUACAGUUUGCAGAUCAGUUGUGUCAUUUUUGCACGGGGCUUUUGAAGUAUCAACCAGUCUGCAGAUUCUUUUGUUUUCCAAGUUCUGCAUAGGUUUUCCAUAUGUGCAUAAAGCAUUAAUGGGGAGGAUAGUGGGUGUGAGAUAUUUAUUUUUGUAAUAUCGUUUCUUUGCUUUGGAUAGUGUUAAAUGUUGGUGUUUUAUUAUCUUCCCACCACGCUGUUAGGUUACAAUCUUGUGACACUAUAUUUACUUGGUUGUAAUAUUUAUCAGAGUUGUCUUAGUUGUAUUAAGAACUUUAUAUUCAUAUU